UACGGAGGGUGCAAGCGUUAUCCGGAUUCACUGGGUUUAAAGGGUGCGUAGGUGGUUUGGUAAGUCAGUGGUGAAAUCUCCAGGCUUAACUUGGAAACUGCCAUUGAUACUAUCAAUCUUGAAUACCGUGGAGGUCAGCGGAAUAUGUCAUGUAGCGGUGAAAUGCUUAGAUAUGACAUAGAACACCAAUUGCGAAGGCAGCUGGCUACACGAAUAUUGACACUGAUGCACGAAAGCGUGGGGAUCAAACAGG
rnacentral:rRNA from 1 species